GAACAAGUAGAAAAAACUAUACCAUUCUUUACAUAUUUAAAAUAUUUUCAUGACAAGAAAUUAAAUAUAUUAGAAAAGAAAAUACAUAAAUGGCACAAAGUCAAUAAUGCAGGAGAACCUAGUGAUAUAUGUCAUCAGUGUGAAAAACCACCAAUGGAUAGAGUUUUUUUUUUAAAAAAACCAAAUAGCACAUGGAAUGCAACCAAUAGUAGAUACAACAAAUAUACCAACUAAUGACAUAAGAGAUAUUAGUCUACAAAAUAAUUGGACCAAUGUUACAUUACAUAUCAUAGGAGGACAAUUAGAUAGAAUAGAAGAAAAAAUAGAUAGAAAUUAUGAAGAAAUCACAAAUAUAGAACACAUAGAAACACCUCAAACACCAUCUCCUAUAACUCCUAAACCAAACACUACAUAUUUAUCCCAAAGAUAUAGUAAUCCAAAACCAUACGAUAUCG
rnacentral:lncRNA from 1 species